rnacentral:rRNA from 1 species
AGGAUCAUUCGCAAUGGGGGAAACCCUGACGAUGCGACGCUGCGUGGAGGAUGAAGGCCUUCGGGUCGUAAACUCCUGUCAUGACGGAAAAGGAGAGGGGUGCCAACACCACCCUUAUUUGAUGGUACGUCAAGAGGAAGAGACGGCUAACUCUGUGCCAGCAGCCGCGGUAAUACAGAGGUCUCGAGCGUUGUUCGGAUUUACUGGGCGUAAAGGGCGCGUAGGCGGCGAGGCGUGUCGGAUGUGAAAUCUCCGGGCUCAACCCGGAAAGUGCGUCCGAAACUGCCCCGCUCGAGUGCGGGAUGGGGAAGGGGAAUGCAGGGUGUAGCGGUGAAAUGCGUUGAUAUCCUGCAGAACACCGGAGGCGAAGGCGCCUUCCUGGAACGCAACUGACGCUGAGGCGCGAAAGCCGGGGGAGCAAACA